AUUGAACGCUGGCGGCAGGCCUAACACAUGCAAGUCGAGCGGAUGAAGGGAGCUUGCUCCUGGAUUCAGCGGCGGACGGGUGAGUAAUGCCUAGGAAUCUGCCUGGUAGUGGGGGAUAACGUCCGGAAACGGGCGCUAAUACCGCAUACGUCCUGAGGGAGAAAGUGGGGGAUCUUCGGACCUCACGCUAUCAGAUGAGCCUAGGUCGGAUUAGCUAGUUGGUGGGGUAAAGGCCUACCAAGGCGACGAUCCGUAACUGGUCUGAGAGGAUGAUCAGUCACACUGGAACUGAGACACGGUCCAGACUCCUACGGGAGGCAGCAGUGGGCAAUAUUGGACAAUGGGCGAAAGCCUGAUCCAGCCAUGCCGCGUGUGUGAAGAAGGUCUUCGGAUUGUAAAGCACUUUAAGUUGGGAGGAAGGGCAGUAAGUUAAUACCUUGCUGUUUUGACGUUACCAACAGAAUAAGCACCGGCUAACUUCGUG
rnacentral:rRNA from 1 species